UUAUUUCACGGUUUCUGUGGCUAGGAAUCUGGACCUAGUUCAGCCGGGUCCUCUGCCUCAGGGUCUCUGACGAGGCUGCACAGGGGCAGGGGUCUCAUCUGAAGGCUGAGGAAAGGUCUUUAUUGCCAGGAUUCAGUCCGUUGUCGGCCGUUGGCUCGAGGGUGUCCUUCAUUUGUAGGCUUUGGCCAGAGGCUGCCCUCAGGCCCUUGCCACACGGGCCUCUCCAUGCGUUGGCACACUUCUUCAGAGUGUGCACACCAGGAGGGCAGUAUAGCAAGAUGGCUCGUGAGGUGGAAGUCAGGAUGUUCGUAACCCGACUGCAGGUGCCAUGUGACCUUGCCUUUGUCACAUCCUACUAGGGAGGAUCAAGUGAUCAGGUCCAGCCCACAUUCAGAGGGUCUGCACAGCGGCCGACCCGGCCGACCUCCGCUCCUCUGCUCAUCAUUCGUGCGUUCAUGCUAAGUCGCUUCAGUCCUCUUGGACCCUAGGAGCCUGGUGGGCUGCAGACCAUGGGGUCACACAGAGCCGGACAUGGCUGAGCAACUGGGCACACACAGGGGCGUGGCAGGUGAAGGAAGGGGAAGAAAGGGACCAGAGGAUGCUGUGUUUCUGGCUCUAAUUAGCUCAGUUGGUUAAGAAUCCACCUGCAAUGCGGGAGACCCCGGUUUGAUGCCUGGGUUGGGAAGAUCCGCUGGAGAAGGGAUAGGCUACCUGCUCCAGAAUUCUUGGGCUUCCCUGUAGCUCAGCUGGUAAAGAAUCUGCCUACAAUGUGGGAAGUUCAGUCUCUGGAUUGGGAAGAUUCCCUGGAGAGAGAAAGGCUACCCACUCCAGUAUUCUGGCCUGGAGAAUUCCAUGGACUGUAUAGUCCGUGGGGUCGCAAAGAGUCAGACACAACUGAAUGACUUUCACUUUCACUUUUCACCACUGCCAUGUGGAAGCCAGGACACCCCCGAUUUGGGUGAGAUGCCCAGUGAAGAUGCUGCCAGCUCCUUGCCGUGUGGUUGGUAAAUCAGCCCUGUCCCUUGCUCCUGGUCUCCCUCUCUCUGCAGGAGAGUGGUCUCACCCACAGCAACCUUCUCCAGUCCCUCCCUGGCAUGCACAUGGUUGCCUAGUCAGAGAUCAGAGAUCAGUAGAUGCCUGUUGAUGCAGGGAGCCAGGAGGGGCCCCAGCAGGCCCUACUCCGGCUUGUCAAGCAGUCUUCCUGCGUCCACACCUUUCACCCUGCUCCAUCCUUACAAGAGGCAGUCCAUGGUGCGUGGUGAUGGGGGCAGGCCUUUGGAGUCAAGUGGAACCUGCAUCCAGUUCAGAUAUAUUACUUAAGCUCUGGGACCCUAGACAUUUUGUCUGUGGAAGAAACGUUUCCUGUUUAAUUGGUGUGUUGGAGGUCUCCAGGACUACCCCCAGCCUCCAUGACUUGGUAGAAGGACUCAUAAUUCAGGAAAGCUGUUCAGCUCAUGGUUACAGUUCACUCUAGUAGAAGAAUAGAGAUUAAAAUCAGGAAAGGAAAGCGUAUACAGAGCAGAGCGCAGGAGCUCCCAGGUGUGCCCAUCCGGCUGUCCUGACCACAGGAGACCCGCAGACAGCGCUUAGUUCUCCCGGCGACCGUGUGACAGCGUGCACAGGUGUGGCCAACCGGACUCUCAUCCAGUCCCCAGUGUUCAGGGUUUGUGUGGAAGGGCAGUCUCCUAAGCAGAGAGCACCCCCAUGGCUCACCAC
ensembl:lncRNA